GCUCACUCCUAUAAUCUCAGCACUUCAGGAGGCUGAGCUGAGAGGAUCACUUGAGCCCAGGAGUUCAAGACCAGCCUGGAGAACAAAGCAAGACCCAGUCUCUACACGAAAUAAAAAAUAACUAGCCAGGCAUGGUGGUGUACACCUGUAGUUCCAGCUACUCAGGAGGCUGAGGUGGAUCCUUUGAACCCAGGAGUUCAACAACGCAGUGAGCCAUGAUCGCGCUACUACACUCCAGCCUGGGCAACAGAGCCAGACCUUGUCUCCAAAACAACAACAAACCUUCUUUCUGAGAAAUUUCUGAUUUUAAACCCCUGCUUUUGUGGAUCUCUCCUUUACUCUUUCUCAUUCAACUGACAAGUCAACAUUGCACUCGUACUCAAGUAUGCUGUCAUUUCACUUUUGACCAGAUCCUAAGCUACUCUCCACACCGCACACAGAAGGGUCCCCAGGAAGAAGGUGUGGCAUGGGCUGACGGAAAGCUACGGGACUUACCUAGAGACACAGGAAACCCAGCCUCACUACCCUUGCUUCUCAACCCUGCUCAAAGUCCGUCCUCAUUCUCAUCAAGAUCACCAUUGUCCCAUCCUGGUUAACACGGUGAAACCCUGCCUCUACUAAAAAUAC
rnacentral:lncRNA from 1 species